CUCAGAAAUGACACCAGUCAGGAUUCAGGAAUAUUAUUAGAACUCUAUUUUACAGAGUCUUCCAGGCCCCAUCUGCAAAGGCAGAGUUCAUCGUUUGCGCCACUAAUUUCCGUCAAAUAACAAUGAUCAAUGAAUGCAACUCUUAUCUUUCUCUGCAACUUAAUCUGAUAAAACAAGAGUUAUGGAUAUAAUAAUCAAAGGUUUUUCCAAUUUACUCAGGGAUGGGAAAGGGGGUGUUGAAGAAAUAUUC
rnacentral:lncRNA from 1 species